GUCGAGAAUCUUCCGCAAUGCGCGAAAGCGUGACGGAGCGACACCGCGUGAUGGAUGAAGUCCUUCGGGGCGUAAACAUCUUUUAUAAAGGAGGAAAUUUUUGACGUUACUUUAUGAAUAAGGGGCUCCCAAUCUCGUGCCAGCAGGAGCGGUAAUACGAGAGCCUCAAGCGUUAUCCGGAAUCAUUGGGCGUAAAGGGUGCGUAGGUGGUUUGAUUAGUCUCCCGUUAAAACUUCGAGCUUAACUCGAAAAGAGCGGGGGAAACGGUCAAACUAGAGUAUGUGAGAGGUGUGUGGAACUCAUGGUGUAGGGGUGAAAUCCGUUGAUAUCAUGGGGAACACCAAAAGCGAAGGCAGCACACUGGCACAUCACUGACACUGAGGCACGAAACCUAAGGUAGCGAAUGGGAUUAGAAACCCGGUAGUCC
rnacentral:rRNA from 1 species